GACAGAGGGGGCAAGCGUUGCUCGGAAUUACUGGGCGUAAAGGGCGCGUAGGCGGGAUGGCAAGUCGGUCGUGAAAUCCCUCGGCUCAACCGAGGAACGUCGAUCGAUACUGCUGUUCUUGAGGAUUGCAGAGGAGACUGGAAUUCCCGGUGUAGCGGUGAAAUGGUGCAGAGAGUCGGGAGGAACACCGGUGGCGAAGGCGGCCUGCUGGGCAGUAGCUGACGCUGAAGCGCGACAGCGUGGGGGAGCAAACAGG
rnacentral:rRNA from 1 species